UAAAUAGUUUAAGUUAAAAUAUUGAUUUGUGAUAUCAAUGAUAUAAAUUUAUUUUA
rnacentral:tRNA from 1 species